CUGGAAGAAUGCAAGCUAGCUUGAACUAAAAUUAUGCCAGGGCCCAAUUUAGUAGUAGGCACAAAACCAUCCAUGUACCUCUGUGGUCCUGUUAAGUUUAUUAGUGUCAGAAUGAAACCUCAGUCACACUGGCAAGAGUCAACAGAAAACCUUUAUUGGCCUCAGUGAUCAGAAGAUACUGAGAGAUAUAAUUAUUAGCUUCACUUCCUUCACAUUUAUGUUCUUUUUCCCCCCUCAUUCUGGCUAUUACCAAAAUAAUAGUGAAAUGAACAUUUUUUUUCAGACUCAUAGAGUAAUGAAAUUGGGUUGUUUCCUAACCAAAACUUGCUGUUAGUUUUGAGUGAUCCUCUGGGUUAAGAAACAGGCAGAGGUUCUGGAAAAGCCAGCUUCAGCUCUCCUUCUGGGCAGACAAUCUCCAGUGGCUUUGAGCAAGGAGCUUAGGUCAUCUGUGAUUCCACAACUCAUUUGGAUAAAGAGUUAAAAGCUGCAAUGUGUUGAGACACAAACACACCAGGUGCAUAAGCACACUGAACUGAUGUGAGCAUAAAACUCACUUUUAUUUCUGUAGCUUUUUUUUUUCUUCAUGAAUCUGGGAAGGGAAUUUGUUUUAAACUCUGUGAAAUGGACAUGAGUGCAUUCACCCCCAUGUCAGGAUAUAUUCAGUGUAGCACAGAGGGAGGGUGUGUGUAAGCCUGAAGUAUUCUACAGGGAUGGCUGUGCUAAUCUGGGGAGUGCCUGCUCUGUUUCUAGAGCUAACUCUCUGCACCUGGUACCCCAAUCAACGCUUGUAAAACUAUCCUUCACUAUGCCAUACUUCUGCCUGCAGCAAUAUGAAUAGGAAUCAGCUUUCAGCUUCUGAUAAACCCAGCGACUCAUUGUCCAGCUUCCUGUUCCUGAUAUGCAGAACACAUGUCAGAACAACUGGAGGGAUGACAACAAUGAGAGAUGAAAAAUGGGUACCAUUGGCAUUACAUACUCCCAGGGCAACCAGUAUUUGGAAACAGCAAAGUUUCUGGAAUUCAGCACUGUUGCUUAAGUACUGCUGUGGGCUGAAAGAGUUAAUCCACUCUAGUGGAGUGGCAAAUAAGACUGUCCCCAAAGACAUGCCUGCUGCUGACUAUUCUACAAGUCCAGCUACAGGAGAAGCAAAGGCCUCUGCUACAGGCACAAGUGUCCUAAAAGUCAGAUGCAGAAAUUCUUCUGGAAGAGAUACCACCCAGUUUCGGACUAGCAUACUUGGUAACUAUUUGGGGUGCUGUUUAUCACGGCAAAUGGACAGGUUUGAGCACCAGCACAAUCUACUUCCUUCUUUGGACUUUUUUUGGCUCAGUUUUGGCAUGGACUGAUCACCUUCUCCCAGCUGAUGGCCAAACACCAUUUGGAUGAUUGCUGUGGACCUAAGGCUCUUCUCAAGAGGUGAUAUGGUUGUGGUAACUCGAUUUAGGGGCAAAGAGGGGAGGGCUGACAGUGUGAGCCCAAACCUUGUUAUACCAUUUAUCCUUAGGGCCAGAGAACGGUUUUGGAAAAGUUAGCAAGUCAAAGGUUUAGUGGAUGAGAGGCCUCUGUCAAGUCUUGUGCAAAAAUUGCUUUUUUUUUCCAGUGUCAAUUUACUGUUUUUAAGUGGGUUUACUCCAGAGUACUUUUACCAUAUGUACUUUCUCAUCCCUCUCUUCUUUUUACUAAUCUUGCUCAGCACAUGAGUUGAUUGUAGUAGUAAAUGGUUUGGCCAAACAUAUGGCAGUGGACAGAAUUAAGGUCCUGGUAAGUAGAGAGAUCAGGCUGUCUUCUGCAUGCCCUCUUGGUCAGUAAAAUCCCAUACACACCAGUGCUACUCUGUUUCCGGAUGUCCACCAUGCCUUGCAUCCCACCAGCCAGGCUGCAGGAAGAGGGGUAAAGCAGCGAGGCUGUUUCCUCCAGGCUGAGCUGCUCCACAGCUCCUUUAGAAGAAAGCAAAUCCUUUGCUACCUUUCUUUUGGUCUGCCUCCUGUUGGCUUCCCCUUCCUCAGCGCCAGGAGCUGGUUGAGCCCACUAAUAACUCCAUUCUUCAUCAGUGCCACUGAAUGGGCAUUUUACAAGGCAAAGUUUGACUUAAAGCUCUUAGUAAAAGAAAGAAAUCCUUUUUAUAAUUACAUGAAAAGGACAAUUAUUUUCUCGCAUUGGGAUGAGAUCAGAAUUGGGCUUUCUGCAAUUUUUAUGUCCAAUAUAGAUUUGAUUUACCACAAUCCCCUGAUGAUUUUGGUGCUGAUAAAUAAAUGUAUUUAUAUGUUGUGCUCUUACAUUCCUAGUACUAACUGAGGAAGCAGAACAAUAACAUACUCUUGUCAAUACAAGCACUGCCCUGGGAAUUGACUAAUUAACAUAAAACUCAGCCCUGCAGGGACAUUUCCAGGUUCAUUUUUUGCUGCUUCAGCAAACUAUAGGGUUUGAGCUGUUAACUACUUUCAGAUGCUCUUUGUCUCUGAAGAAAGAAAUAAAGAACAUCCACGUUGCUUUAGGCAAGUUAAUGAUUCUACAGAACACUUACCUUUUUACCAUAUGCUUCAUGGUGGAUUAAAAUCCUGAAGGAGUUGAGGAUUAUAUAGCAUGUAUAGUCCUUUGGCAGAAAAACACUUACUCUGAACUAAAAGUGAAUGGCUGAAUGUGACAUUUAUAUUCAUUGUUUUUCCAGAACUGCGUACUGAGGAUGUUUGAAUUUACUCAAAAUAAUUCUUCCAGUAAUCCCAAAGCAGAGGUUUUGUAGGUGCUUUGAUUUCACGUGUUGUCUUAAGGUUAUGACAAAUAGUUCACAGUGGCUACUGGGAAAACUGGAGAAGUUUGCAUAUUCACUUCUGCAAAGUUAGAAGGAAAUCUGGCCUAACUUGGCAAAGGGAUGUGCUUACAGUUUUGAGGAACACAUAAUACUUGGGUUUUUGUGUGUCUGUGUGAUUUACUUUUCACUCAUGUUCAUUCCCUUGGAUGACAAAAGCAAAGUUUCUUGUCUACAGGAAAAAAUAGGAAAUAAAAGAGAAGGAAAGUCAAACUAAAUAAGGCUUUAAUCUCACAGAUAAAGAAAAAAACUUUCCCUCCUUCUUGUAGUGUUUGCUGUUAUUAUAGGCUGUUCUUAAUUUCCACAUGUGCCCAUUGCUUUUGUUUAUGAAUGAACAAAAUGACAUACUGCAGUUCACAGAAAUCAUCUGUAGAAAGAAACAAGGGAAUAAUUUUCUAUCACUGCUGAAAACUCUUCAGUAGAUCUUCAUGUGCUGCAGCUAAAAGGACCUGAAAAUUACAUUUUGAAUGAGCACAUAUACUUUCAAAGUAUUUUGUCAGAGCAGAAAGCUAAGUACACGUGCAAAAUGCACAUUUGAGAAAGCCGAAGUCACAGCACUUGCAGAUACACACAAUAUUCAUAGUUUUGUUUUGUACAUACAUUUACUUGUUGGUGCAUGAAUACAUAAAUUUUGUGAGUGUGCUUCAGGCAUUAGUAUGAGAAGCCGUGUGUAUAUAUGUGACUGUUUGUGCCUAUUAGCACAAAUUAUUACAAUUGCUCAUACCUAUCUGAUCCUGCUGUAUAGGCUUCAUAGGCUUUACCCAUUUGGAAUAAAAUUACACGAUGUAUGUCUGCCUGCACAUUUUUUUUUCCCCCAGCAGUUUUCAAACACAAUAAUUCAAUAUUUGCUAAAAAAGGAAGAAAAAUACCUUGUAAAACACAUAAUGUUUUACUCUUUAUCAGGCAAUGUGGAAAGGUUUCAUUUGUAUUGCUGUGUCUCUUGGGCUUCAGAACAGGAAAGCGCUCAUUCAAAAUGUAACGUCCAAGUCCUUUUAGCUACAGCACAUAAAGGUCUACUGAAAAGUUUUCGGCAGUGAUAUGAAAUGAAGUGGGAUAACUUAGAGAAGUCAGGAGGAUGAGAGGAAAUAAAAACAAAUAUGGGGCCAGUAAGUAGCCAGGACUAUCUGCCAGGACAAGGUGACUCCUGGGAAAAGGAAAGAGAGAUGAGUGACUACAGCAUGAGGAGUCAGAAGUAGGGAAAAGGAAAUACUGCUAUAGUAGUAUUUUGAAUAGGAUGAGACAGCAAGUGUCAGGGUGGUCAGACAAAAAACAGCCUUGGUGCCCCUCUAGUACUUUGGAGCAGUACUAAAUGUUUGUGAAAGUCACUUGGGAAGAUUUUCAGUUCCUCUAAUCUUCAUCCACAUUAGCAGCAGCAAUCUACUUCUGCCAUUGUUUACUAGAACAACUGUCAUGCCAGUUUGCAGAGAUCUGUGCAAUGGACUUCAGUGUUUCCAGUAUUGCUGAUUCUGGGAGUCAGCAAAUGCAAAGAUGCUAGAAAUAUGUCAAUGAAGUAUUGCUAUUCCUGUUUAUUUGUAUGCUCUCAUGAUCAGUAAAAUAACUUUCCUUAAUUUAGUCUGCCUUUACUCUUCAUGGAAAGCUUAAGGAAAACUAGGCAUAAGCAGCUCGGUUUCAUUCAAUUUUUCUAUGGAGGUCUCAUCCUGCACACACCAAUGGUGGCCAUCUAUCAUAUAUUUACAUUAUGUUGAAAUGAAGGGAACAUGACAUUUUUCCUUUAUUGUCAGGAGGUGUCAAAAGUAUUAAUAGCAUAAUUUUUGCUAGCUGGCUAAAAUUCUCACACUGCAAUCUUGUGCAUCAGCAUUUUUUUUUUUUUUUUUAAACCACAGAUGGUCAUUUAUGUAACACUGUUGGAAAUUGUUGCCAUGCUCCACAGCAACAGGAAAAUGGGAUACAUCUGCACUUUGUGGGGAAAAAUACAAAUGAACUAGAAGCUAUGCAAACAUUUAAAUUACAGGGAAACGGGACUGCGAUAAGCCCUGGUCUGCAUGAGCAGGAAGAGAGUGUCAGCCUCACCCAUACCCUGAAAAAAUGCUCACAUUUAUGGGCCACUCUAUUGUACUGAGUGGAAGUUUGUUUAUGCGGGACCUUCCUUCCCUCAGGACUUCCUCUGAGAGGAAAUGUCGUCACCAUUUAGUAGGAGUCAAUUGUUAUGCAUUCAAAACUCAAACAUAAAAUAGUAUCCCCGAAUGCAACGAAGUGCAAAGGAAUAAAUAAGAUUUAUGCAUUUACAUAUUUGGAAACAUUUACAAAAGUUGUUCUUGCUCACUAAGACUUUCAGAGAACUGGGUAAAAGCAAACAGGGCUUGAGUAAGUAGCUCAAAUAAUAUCGUUUUAUAGGUGCUCAAGAUGUUACUCAGUAUUUGAUGAAUCCCACGACUUUUGUCAUCGCUGCUAGUGCUCUAUGGCCGAUGUGGGAAUAUGUUUAAACAGAAGGCUGAAAAUCAGUUUGCAGCUGUAAAACCAGGGUCAUGCUCUUAUGGGAAUACUUGGCUAAGUCUGUUCCAUGUUUUGUACUGAAUGGCUCUGGAUCUGAAGCGCUCUGGUGACAGUACUCUGCUGUUGAGAGAUGACCUUUCUGAAACCAGAAAAUACCUACAGAACUGAAGACCUGAAUGCACAGGUUGAACUGGACUGUGCUUAUGGCCAGCAGGCAACCUAUGUCCACAAGGGGAAUGAAUCCAGGCAGUUUUCUUUGACAUAAAAAGGAAGAAGUCUGAAUGUCUGUGAGGCAGAAUUAUAUACCUGGGUUAAAAGCAAGAGCAUCCACAGGUAUGGACUAAAGGGUGGUUGUGUGAACACACACCUUCUACAGAACAGAGAAGAAUUGUGAAGGCCUCUUCCCUCUAGAACACCCAGUUCUGCUUGGGAAGAAUGUAAGUCUGCCUUCAACUUGUGGAUACACAAGAACAUACACCUUAAUCCAUGUAGGAAAACUCCUGGACUGAAAUACGUCUCCAUCCAAGAAGACUACCUGAGUAUCAACAAGUGUGCCACAUAUCAGCAGUGGCUGUAGAAGACCAAACAUCUUCAGAGAAACUACUCUGAGAUCAUUCUGCUCCUCAACUCCACCACUGAAGCUGAACUGCAUCCCUAUUUAGCAAGUUUUAAUAAUCUGCCUCGGAAGAGGAUGGUUCCUGAAAACAGAUGUAUAGCUCUCUUUCAAUCACUCUAUAUAUCCAUAAAUUAAUUCCCUUUUUGUUAGGUUGCAUGUUAUGUUAAGAAGUUCUUUAAGCUAGCUUCCCAAGCAGGCUUCUAACUAACCACUAAGUAUAGGUCACAGCAGUUGUGUCCCAGUUCCCCAGCCAGACCACAGACUAUGCGGACUCCUCUCCUCUCCUCUAAUGGGGCACUUGGGAGUUUCCAUUGGUCUGAAGAAGAGUUUCUUGUUGUGAAUGUGACUGGUUCUACUUCACCUGAGUCUCAUGACAGUGUUUUUAAUGAUCAAGACCUCAAUUUUACUUAAGAUACUAAAAAAAAUUUCUAUCUUCUGUAAUAAAAAAAAUGAAAAAGUGGAGCCCUUCUAAACUGCAGAAUCUAGGAUUCAGAUAAAAUACUUUCCACCACCUUAUUUUUAAGGUACUUACAGUUUAUACAAAACCUCUCCUCCUUCUUUAGUAUCAUUUUCCAUGUGUGUUUUUUUUUUUUUUUUUUGCUUUUUUUUCCAAGAGAAAAUGGAGGUAAGGGAAUUCACUUACACUUUUUUACUUAUUUUUUUCUUGUUUGAGGCUGACAAUAGGCAUUUGCCAGCCUUUUGACUAUAACUAAAAUCAGGGUCAUGCUGAUUUCAUUAGAAGCGAAAUAAAGAACAACUAGUCUCAAAAUGGCAGCAGCUACCAAAUCCCUCCCAGAAGAAAGUCAGGUCAGCAUGCCACGAUGUAUCUGAACCCAAGACAAUGGGAAGGUGACUUCUUUCUCAUCACACUCAGGACAGUGCUAAGGGAAAGGCUGGGAUGAGACCCUCAGAGGAGGCACAGCCUGCCCGACAGUAUGGGCAGCGUUUGGUGGAUUUGAGGAAUUUGCAGUGCAUGCCAUAUCAACUGUUUCCUCUAAGUAUUUCAAAAGGAGUGCAAGAAGCUUUGCUUUUCCCUCUCAUAAGCCCUACAGUCUGAAGGUAACAGUCUGAUGCUGGACAAUACGGGAUGUUCAUUUCUUGUGUAACUCUUAGCUUUUUGCUUGUGUAAUUUUAGAUGAUAUGAGUAAUUGUUUUUUUCCUGCUUUCUUUUCUGUCUUUCUUGCAUCAGUGGAAAUAAAAUAUCAGAAGUAUGGGAAUACUGUAGCAAUUGGAAAGAGUGAAAACAGUGGUUUUCUUGGAAUAAAUUUUCAUGCUACAGGGGUUAGAAGCAAAUGAAGCUAAAAAAUGACAAAAGAGAGCGCCCUUAUACAUACAUUUUCUCUUAUUCCAUUCUUAGCUAUCAAAGAUCUGAAGUUACUAAAUUUACUGCAAAAACAAUUAUUUUUCCAGUCUCUGGGCAGACGGGUGAAGGAUUAGGGUUCUACUGCAUGAUUGGUUUCUUUCUAUUAUUAUUAGUAGUAGCAGUUUUAGUGCUGUCAGUAUAUUCAGUGCCUUUUUAGUUUGGCUUCUGUUGCUCAAGAAGGAUUGCAAAAGACUUAUUUCUGUUCUGUACACCCAAGGAAGUACUGCUUGUUACUAGCAGGAAAAGAUGUGAAGCUCUGAGAAGGGAACUUGCUGGUCUGUAUUUAACCAUACCAUUCUGAAAAACACAUUUCACCAAGGAGUCAUUCACACAGUUUACUAAGGGGAAAAAAAAAUACCCUGCAAAUUAAAUAAGGCUUCAAAUAAAACAAAUCAUCCUUGGAGAUGCUACUGGGAAUUGUUUCUUUCAGCUCACCCAAGAAAAAUUACUUCCAAGUUAUUUGAAAUGUCAGAUUAUUGGAUUGAAAGUUAG
ensembl:lncRNA